GGGUUUCUCCAAUGAUCAGAACCUAUUUUAGAUUUUCAGUAUAUGUAGUUUUGCACAGCUUCAUUCAUGUGCUUUUCUUUAUAAAUUUCAAUCAAUCUACUAAAUUAGAAAAUUUCCCUAUUUGGAACUUUGAUUUGUUUAACAUCCUUGUCACUUAUCUAAAGAAAUUUCAUGNNNNNNNNNNNNNNNNNNNNNNUUGCUCCCAUAGAUUCUUCGGGAGAAAGUUCAACAACGUAUACUUUCUAUUAGAUAUCCUGUUGUCACAAUAAGAAUCCUGGGAUGAAUCAUCGUUGAUGUAGACAAAGCGUUUCAUCAUCGAUUGAGAAGCAUUCCUCUCAAUAAUCACACAUAUCCGCCAGGCGGCGGCCGGAGACGAUCUCCUCGCCGGAUGAGAGGUCUCCGGAGAACGAACCCUCGCCGAUCCGCGUAGCAUAUCUUUCCACUAAUGCAAAGUGGCUUUCAUGGGAUUUUUAAGAAAUGACUCAAAUGCUGCUCUAUCAACUUUUCAAACUUUGUCUUUCAUAUUGUUAGGCAGAAAGUUGGCUUUAACUAAUACAAAAUAACCAUUCCCAACAUUAUGAAACAACAUACAGUACCAUGUCAACUGGCUGGUCUGAGUUUCUUAACCAAUAACACCAAUAUUCGAAGUAGAAAGCAUGGCAUGCCAAACUAAAACAACCAUGUUAUACAAUUCUUAUUAAGAGAAGUCUUACUUGCAAAAUAAUAAGAAAACAUGUGGAUUCUGUACAUUUUUAAGCAAUCCUGUGUCUUUUAAUCUACUUAAUGUAUUGCAUGUCGUCACAAAAUCAAUUAGGUCACAUAAAUCUGGUGCAUAUAUAAGAUAGAUAAGAAAAGUGGGGACCAUAGCAAGAAAACACCACCACAAGAUUUGAAUGAAUCCUUUGUUCGUUAAGAAGAACAAACGUAAAAAUCAUGGCCAUUUAACAAGUAAACUGAUUUGAUGUUUUGGGAGUGCUACCAAAAGUUCACGAUCAUUAAUGAAACCAUUAACAAGAAAGAGUGAAAAAGAACCGUACAUGUUUUCGAAUGCCCUCCUUUACAACCCAAACUUCUUUCUCAUUUGCUUGCUUGUCAGAAAGAUAUCUGUUGUAGUCAUCCCAGGCCUCUUUCGUUGCAGAGACCGCAAAUAUAAAGAUAAGCGGACCCCAUGUACUUGCUGGGUUUACAGGAGUAAUAAGUGACCACAGUUGAAGGCAUGCAAUCAGCAAAAAGUACUGAUUCAUGAAACGGCUGAAAAACAAAAAAAUAAAAGAUAGUGAGGUCCCAAGAAUAUGCUGAAAGACAUUUACUGUAAAGCCUGCUGUGAUAUUGAACACACUAAAAGCCUGAUCACUUCCACCAUGCACAUGAGAUACUAUAUCAAUAUCAUACCAGGAGAGAUUCAUAUAAAUCUAUCAAUAUUGAGAAUAAAUAUGUCAUAAUGAGAAAAAGAUCCAUGUCAAGAAGAAUGCCAAGUUUUUGUUAAGAUAUCUUCAAAAUAAACUAACUUCGCAUUGAAAAAAAAAGUUACAUGAUUAAAUAGAAUCAUGCAUCAUAGAAGAAGGCACAUGUUUAAGAUAUCCUCCAGCAAAUGGCUAGGUGGACUGCCACGAGCUCUACUACAUCAGUAGAAGAGAAUCUUCCUUCAUCAAUUGUUGGUAACUCCUUUCUCCAAGAUAUACUUUUUAAACCCUCUUGGGGACCCUUAGUGCAGCCCCUAGAAUCGAUCCCUUUUUAAGGUGCAUGCAACCUAUGUCUGCGCAGUUCAGUUGAAAGCAAAAGCCUCUGAAAGGACUAGAGCACAUGCAACUUCAAUCAUAUUAACUAAUGGCUAAAGUAUUUUAUGUUAUGCAGGAUUAUCAUCAGAAAAUUUAGUGCUUCCCACAUCAUUACAAGAAUCUUUCUUUUAUCAUUCUCCUGGAAGGUCAGAUUUUUUUUCGGUUGACUACUUGUGUACGUAAGGAAGAAAAAAUUAGUCUAAACUCUAAAUGCAGUGUUUCACUUAGCAAAAGCACAAUUUGUACGCUUAUGAUAAUGCAUAAGCACGUGAUUUCUCUUAAAUUCAACUUCCCCCUUCGAAGUCAUGUUAAAAUAUGCUAUGAGAAAGCUCUAGUCAGAUAGUGGAAAUCAUCACCAUUCUAUAGUCUUGAGAUAAUGUCGAGAAAGAAUAGCCAACAUGGUGGUAUUGAACAUAUUGAUACUCAUCACUAUAAGCUACAACAUGAAGAUAUAGGUUUUGGAGUACGUCUUGAUGCAUCUUCACACCAAGAAGUCAGCAAAUCACACAAUAGACUAAAGAAAGGGAGGUGACAAGAAUAGACAGGGACCAAAGGGUAGUAGGCACAAACAUAAGUAAACAAUCAAGCACUGAAAGAAAGCAUGUUUGCAGGUUGCAACUUUAUGUGUAUGCUCAUACAUGCAUGCAUAUAGGUCAAUUUAAUAAGUAAAUAAAUAAAAUGCUGUAAGUAGCAAAUAUAAUGAAAACCAUGCAUCAAACUCAUGAUAAUCACAAUUGCUAACAAUGAAGAUUGAUGCUUUCCAUCUUAACAGUCAUUAAUGAUGUCUAGAUAAAGGUGACAUAUGUUAACAUACCAAAGAUAUAAGUAGUUUUGUUUGCUAAAGAUUCUUUUAGUAACUCAUAGAAUGACAGCAACAUAAAAAAUAAAAAGAAAAAGGGAAAUGAAACUCUUAAUACUUUUUGAGAGAGACAUUAAAACAAUGUUAGUUACUUUUCAAAAAUCAGAUGCUAAUUCCAAAAUUACCUUACAUUAUGAACUUGGCCUCACUUCCACUGAGAUAUGCACAAACCGCCAAUCACAUUGCUCCAAGUUGCCUAACUAUCUAAUGUGGUUCAUGAUAUGUAAAGUAUACUGACAAGGCAAGAGAUGUUCAGGUAUACAACAACAUGACCAAGACCAAGCUGAGAAUACUGAAUGGGAUCUUUAAAGCAAUGACUGAUGUUCACAUCUAUGAAGAAGCAUAAUGGAGAAGAGCAAAUAUGCUUCUUUUGAUGUGACAACCACAAACUAGAGGGUUUGCAAAAACUCAAAUGGAUGACAAGAACAUAGACGACUCCAAGGAUUUGGAUGAAACCAGAUGCUACACACGAAGGAAAGUACCUUUAAGACCCAAGAGUUAGCAAAAAUAAUCCUCUUCAUCACAAACUAAUAUAAAGAAAUACUACCUUGAGAUGCAAAAAUAUAAUAAUCAUACUACACAUAGCAUUCAACUUAGCACUUAGGUAUUUUCUUGCAAAUUUUGAACUCCAUAGUCACGGUAUGGUUAAAAGUCAACAUGCGCAAAAUUACUAUUAUACUUAAGCAUGAUGUUGUAACUAUGACCAUAUCCAUAACUAUGGUCAUCAAGACUUGUCUCCGACUAUUUGCAUUUGGCUUCUAUGAAUCCUCAUUUGUCUAUCAUUUCUAUUAAGGGCUAACUGUAUUUUUAUUGCAAGCUUUUCAUUUUACCUCUAACAAUUUCCAACAUGUUACCUUAGGUCCUCCCUUCCUCUUUCGGGAUAUUUUCACAGCAUCGCUUCCUAUUGGAGCCUCCUUGGAUCUUCAUAGCACAUGCCCAUAUCAUCAAAUUCAACCCUACUACUUCAUCUUUAAUAUACCAACUCCCCGCUCUAUCCUUUAUAGUUUCACCACACAGCCACCCCAACAUUCUCCUCUGUGUUGCAUUCAUCGUGUUUGCUAGGAUCCUCUCCAUUAACCAACAUUAUAAGCCACAGAGCAUAGAAGGCCUUGUUGUCAUUUUAUAAAAAUCUUCAUGAAGUUGCCAAGAAACGCAUCAAUAAUAUAUUACCUAAAAUUGCCUCUAAUUUCAUCCAUAAAACUCCUAAUAUAGAUGUUUUUAUCCAUCUCACCAGUUUUCUAUAUUAGAUCCUACAUAAUGAAACUAACCUAAUCGUGGGAUCUCCUAUCCAUCAGUUUUGGUUAAGCACUUGAUUAUCAUAUUUCAUCUUCAAGUUCACUGCGAUUGUACUUCAUUUAGUCUAUCUUUCAUUCUUCUAAUCUUGGGACAUCCUCUUAGGCCUCCUCCAUAGUUCCUUAGUAGUUAAUCUUGUAAUCUCUAAAUCAAUCAACAUAAUAUCACCUACAAAUCCAAUUUAAUGUUGAUGGCAGAUACAACUAUCAAGAUGCUAAAAAUAUUAAACUCAAUUUAUAGUUGCAAGUAAAUACAUUAUCAAACCAGUAAAAUAUCUUGAUUGUUGUACUACGGACCUAGGUUCAAAUCUCACCUCCAUAAGAUUUGGGGCAAGGCUCGCCAAAUCAGUACCAGAGGUCAUACCAAACAGUGACUAAUUCGGUAUAGUACCGAUACUUACCGUACAGACCCAAGGUGUAUCAGAACUAAGGGGAGGGAGAGGGAGAGAGGAGAGAGGAGAGAGGAAGAAGGAGAGGGAGGAGAAAAGAGAGGAAGGAGAAAGAGGGCGGUGAAGCCACUGGGGUCGUCAUCAUCUUCGAGGGAGUGAAAGAAAGGAGAAAGAGAGAGGAGGGUGAAGCCGCCAACAAGAUCAUUGUCAUCUUUGAGAGAGAGAGAGAGAGGAGAAAGAGUGAACUAUCAGGGUCAUCAUUGCUGGAAGAGAGAGAGGAGAGAAUGCGAGAGGGAGAGAGAGAGGGCAACUCAUGUACCUAUGAUCAUUGUUAGAGGCAACGGUGGCGCGAAGGGGGAGGGGGGUCGAAAGCCUAAACUAAACGUGAGAGCGAGAGAGAGUGUGUGAUUGGAGGAUGAGGCAACUCAAGAUUGUAACUAACGGGGUACAAAUGCAGCGUACAGCUCGAACUACCCAGAACCGAGCAAAACCAGGCAGUUCUAGGGGUGCAAAUAGGUCGGGUCUUGAGUGACCCCGACUCGAUCUGGUUUCUUGUUCGGAUCCUAAUUUUGGACCCAGAUCCGACCCAAUUGAAGACCGAGUUGGGUCGGGUCGGAUCUACGGCUAUAAUUUUUGAUCCAACGGAUUAUUCAGGUCGGAUCGGGUCCAUAUAUAACCUAGACCCGACCCAAAAAAUUCAGGUCCGGGUCGGGCCUGGGUUUGGGUUCGAGUCGGGUCCGAACUUGCUGUUUUAAUUUAUGAAUGAAGAGAAGGUGACAUGACAUUCCGCCACCUGUCAUAUGACAAGAGAGAGUCGAUCUGGUAAUUUAAUUUAUGAACAGCAUAUGCCAUGUACCAGAUGAUGGGUCAAACUUGCAUAGCCGUCCCAUUAUUAUUAAGAGACUUGCUUUAAUUUAUGAAUGAAGGCAAAGUGACAUGACAUUCCUCCUCACUCUGGACCUGCUUUAAUUUAUGAACAGCCUAUGCCAUGUACCAUAUGAUGGGUCCGGACUUGCAUAGCCGUCCCAUCAUCAUUAAGGGCAAUAUGACAUUCCGCCACCUGUCAUAUGACGAUCAGUUGUUGCCCUAGGGAGUGGGGAGGCGUGAUCUAGGGCUCGGGAUCAGUACUGUUGUACCCAUAAAAAAACACAUUGGCAUUCUUUGAGCUGUGAGACAAUUCAAAUUCCUUCUCGAAUACUAAGUCAAAUGAAAUUUGGGCAUAGUUCUCUGCAGAGAGAGUUCCAAGGACCAGCUUCUGAUCAUUGAAUUCCACAAAGAUCGGCACAUUUCACAAAGAUCCAAAUUCAUGAGCACAAGAUUCACAUCAAUCGUAAUGCUUAAGAGAAGGGCGGAAAGAAGAAGAAUUGUAUUGAAGUGAUUUCCGCGAAAUGAUCAAAACGAGCGACAUGACAUUCCCCCAUCCUUUUCUGCUUUUCUUUUUUUUACCUUUUUUUAAUAAAAAAUAUUUUUAUCUUGGUUUUUAUGGGUAGACUGUAAGCCUGCAGGCUGCGGGCCUAAAUGGGUAAUUCGGAUUUGGGUCGGGUCGAAUCGAGUUGCUGGGUAAGUGAUCCAAAAUUGACUCAAAAAAAAACAGGUCGGAUCAGGCCGGGUCGGGUUCGGGUCGGGUCAAGAUUCGGUAAACCCAGACCCAACCCGAAAAAUAGGAUAGAUCCAAUUUUAGGACCCGAGCCGGCCCUACGGGUCCUCCAAUUCGGGUCGGGUCUAAGCGGGUCGCGUCACUGGUCAACCUAAUCCAUUUACAGCCUUAGGCGGUUCUACUCGAUUCGGAUAAGGUUGGUUCAAGGCAUGUUCCAAACUAAACCUGCAUCUCAACACAAUUUCCACCUGGAAUAGGUCCCUAUGCCCAGAAUUAGGUGGUUCAAGAUGAGGCAACCAAUUGGUUUGGGAGGUUAGGAGUAUUGGAGAAGGCCUAUCUCCCCUCAUGUAGCCCAUUGCUUGUGGCCUCUUCUACCCUGAAAGGAAAAAGGUGAAAGGAUUGUGACACUAGAAUAUCCUUGAUUCUUAAAUUCAUUCCCAAUAAUUCAAUGAGAAUACUUCUCCUACAUUAUUGCACAAUUUUCAAUAGUUGUUGAUCAUGAUGAACCGCUUUAUCAGUGCUUUGACAUACAAAUCACUUGUUCUAGACUACAAUGUCAACUUGCAUAGAGAUCGCUGAUUAAGAGACUUGCCACAUUAUAACAUUAUGUGUUGGGGUUGAUUUAAAAAAUAAAAAAAUGGAUACAAGCCAAUAUACGAGGGGGGAAAUUAACUUAUUGAUAUUGAAAGAGGCCAUAGUCCAGUAAGACUACAAUAUGGUCAUGAUGUUGAUCAAUAAAGAAAGUACAAGAUAUGCAAUGGAAGCUGUAAAAAAGAGCAUGAUAAAGAUCGCAUUAUCACAUUAGAGGAAGCUUAAAAGGUGCACACAAAAAAUAAAUAGACAAGAAAUCAAAGAGUUAUCGCACGCCCAGUGACCACGUACAACUAAGACCAGUGAAGGUUAUCAUCUAAAGAGAAAUUAUUAUUUUUUUUCGAAGGGUCAAAAAGAGUAAGCGAGUGAGGGAGUGAGUGAAUAAUAAAGAUGAAUGAGAGCAGCUCAAAGUUUUUGUUUCAAAGAGUCCAAAAAAUAAGAGCACACAAACUAAUAAAUUCAUGUUGAAACUUUUGAUGAUAGAUUUAAUGAGCUAGUGUUAACAUUUGAGAUAGCUACUCCUACUAGGAAACAACAAGGAAAGCCAGGUGCCAGCUUUCACCCAAAGCAAAAGGUGUAUGCACAAAGAAAAGGAUUAAUCAAAUAAGAGUUCAAAAUCUCAUAAAGUCAGAAUGUUUGAUAUCAAUAAUGCUUAAUCUGAAAUUGAUAACACAUGCAAAAGAAAGUCUACAAUAUUAUAUUUUCUACUAGAAUAUAUAGAUACCACAAUUAUUACAAGUCUAACAUAAAUCAACACUUUAUAGUUGAACUACAAUUCAAUAAACAAAGCAAACCUGAAUUGCUCCCAUAGAUUCUUCGGGAGAAAGUUCAACAACGUAUACUUUCUAUUAGAUAUCCUGUUGUCACAAUAAGAAUCCUGGGAUGAAUCAUCGUUGAUGUAGACAAAGCGUUUCAUCAUCGAUUGAGAAGCAUUCCUCUCAAUAAUCACACAUAUCCGCCUUAAAAAAAAUAAACAUCGGCAUAAGAAUAGUUUCAUACUUCAUAAAUUUGCUCAAAAUAAUGAUUCUUUAGAGCGUUCCACAAUUCAAUAACCCAUUUCAUGUAAUUUCUUUCCCUCACAAUAACUUUUUAUUUGAAAAAUAUCAGAAUUUGUAAAUUAACACGAAUCAUGAUAAUUUGUGAUUUAAAUCAUUCCACGAUUUAAUUCCCCAUCUUAUGCUGCCCUUGGCACCUGAUGAGUUCAAUCUCCAACGUUCUUACGUAAAAAAUAAACAAAUAACGAUACAAUUUAAGGAAUUGAGCUUCAAGAAUGUGAUCCCCACAUCACAAAUGACGCUGUCGGUAAUAGGGAGGGGAUGUUUUCGCCAAUCCCACCGGCGACAAAGAAAGGGUGAAGCUACUCACCAGGCGGCGGCCGGAGACGAUCUCCUCGCCGGAUGAGAGGUCUCCGGAGAACGAACCCUCGCCGAUCCGCGGAGGGGAGAGUGGGGCCGAGGGUUCCGUGAGAAGGGGACCGAGAGAGAGGGGAGGGGGGGGCCGAGG
rnacentral:lncRNA from 1 species